rnacentral:SRP_RNA from 1 species
GCAUUGGCGCUUCGCAACGAUCAGCCGCAAACCCCGUCAGGUCCGGAAGGAAGCAGCGGUAGCGGUGAAAUCGGGUGCCGGAGUAAGCUGGUGCAGGC